GAGAUUUUGUUGGUUCCGCAUUUUGGGUCUGCGAGGUGGGGUAGGCGGGCAAGGCGGGCGCCGAGGUUUGCAAGGGCUCGCGGCGGCCAGAAACCCGGCUCCGAGCGGCGGCGGCCCGGCUUCCGCUGCCCGUGAGCUAAGGACGGUCCGCUCCCUCUCGCCAGCUCCGAAUCCUGAUCCAGGCGGGGGCCAGAGGCCCCUCGCCUCCCCUCUGAGGACCGAAGAUGAGCUUCCUCUUGUCCAGUUUUAUUAUUGUAGGUGUUAAAUGCCGCCCCAGGAGAAUGUGCGUUGCCGCAGUUUGAGAAGCUUGAAGUUAAGAUGCUGGCCUUGGAGUCGGAUCGUUCUGUCCAAUUCUGAUUCUGCCCACUUACUGACUUUGAUUUUAACCAACUUCUCUUGUCCUCGCAGCAGCCGCUCUUCUAAAACAUUCAAACCAAAGAAGAAUAUCCCUGAAGGAUCUCAUCAGUACGAACUCUUAAAAC
rnacentral:sRNA from 1 species